rnacentral:rRNA from 1 species
AGCGAACGCUGGCGGCAGGCUUAACACAUGCAAGUCGAGCGGGCAUCCUUGUGGUGUCAGCGGCAGACGGGUGAGUAACGCGUGGGAACGUGCCCUUCGGUUCGGAAUAACUCAGGGAAACUUGAGCUAAUACCAGAUACGUGCGAGAGCAGAAAGGUUUAUCUGCCGAAGGAUCGGCCCGCGUCUGAUUAGCUAGUUGGUGAGGUUAUGGCUCACCAAGGCGACGAUCAGUAGCUGGUCUGAGAGGAUGAUCAGCCACACUGGGACUGAGACACGGCCCAGACUCCUACGGGAGGCAGCAGUGGGGAAUAUUGGACAAUGGGGGCAACCCUGAUCCAGCCAUGCCGCGUGAGUGAUGACGGCCUUAGGGUUGUAAAGCUCUUUUCUCCGGGACGAUAAUGACGGUACCGGAGGAAUAAGCCCCGGCUAACUUCGUG